GCUGGGCAUGGUGAUGCAUGCCUGUAGUACCAGCUACUUGGAAGGAUGAGGUGGGAGGAUUGCUUGAGCCCAGGAGGUUGGGGCUGCAGUGAGCUGAGGCAGCACCACUGCACUCCAGCCUGGGUGACAGAGCAAGACCCUGUCUCAA
ensembl:misc_RNA Metazoa_SRP Metazoan signal recognition particle RNA